rnacentral:rRNA from 1 species
MGUGGGUAACCUGCCUGUAAGACUGGGAUAACUCCGGAAACCGGGGCUAAUACCGGAUGCUUGUUGAACCGCAUGGUUCAAACAUAAAAAGGUGGCUUCGGCUACCACUWACAGAUGGRACCCGCGGCGCAUUAGCUAGUUUGGUGAGGGUAAUGGGCUCACCCAAGGCGACGAUGCGUAGCCGACCUGAGAGGGUGAUCGGCCACACUGGGACUGAGACACGGCCCAGAMUCCUACGGGAGGCAGCAGUAGGGAAUCUUCCGCAAUGGASGAAAGUCUGACGGAGCAACGCCGCGUGAGUGAUGAAGGUUUUCGGAUCGUARAGCUCUGUUGUUAGGGAAGAACAAGUACCGUUCGAAUAGGGCGGUACCUUGRCGGUACCUAACCAGAAAGCCACGGCUAACUACGUGCCAGCAGCCGCGGUAAUACGUAGGUGGCAAGCGUUGUCCGGAAUUAUUGGGCGUAAAGGGCUCGCAGGCGGUUUCUUAAGUCUGAUGUGAAAGCCCCCGSCUCAACCGGGGAGGGUCAUUGGAAACUGGGGAACUUGAGUGCAGAAGAGGAGAGUGGAAUUCCACGUGUAGCGGUGAAAUGCGUAGAGAUGUGGAGGAACACCAGUGGCGAAGGCGACUCUCUGGUCUGUAACUGACGCUGAGGAGCGAAAGCGU